CCUACGGGAGGCAGCAGUGAGGAAUAUUGGUCAAUGGACGAGAGUCUGAACCAGCCAAGUAGCGUGAAGGAUGACUGCCCUAUGGGUUGUAAACUUCUUUUAUAUGGGAAUAAAAUGUUCCACGUGUGGGAUUUUGUAUGUACCAUAUGAAUAAGGAUCGGCUAACUCCGUGCCAGCAGCCGCGGUAAUACGGAGGAUCCGAGCGUUAUCCGGAUUUAUUGGGUUUAAAGGGAGCGUAGGUGGAUUGUUAAGUCAGUUGUGAAAGUUUGCGGCUCAACCGUAAAAUUGCAGUUGAAACUGGCAGUCUUGAGUACAGUAGAGGUGGGGGGAAUUCGAGGUGUAGCGGUGAAAUGCUUAGAUAUCACGAAGAACUCCGAUUGCGAAGGCAGUUCACUGGACUGCAACUGACACUGAGGCUCGAAAGUGUGGGUAUCAAACAGGAUUAGAUACCCGUGUAGUC
rnacentral:rRNA from 1 species